GACAGAGGGUGCAAACGUUGUUCGGAAUUACUGGGCGUAAAGCGCGUGUAGGCGGCUAAGUAAGUCGGGCGUGAAAUCCCACGGCUCAACCGUGGAAGUGCACUCGAAACUGCGUAGCUAGAGUCCUGGAGAGGAAGGUGGAAUGCUUGGUGUAGAGGUGAAAUUCGUAGAUAUCAAGCGGAACACCGGUGGCGAAGGCGGCCUUCUGGACAGUGACUGACGCUGAGACGCGAAAGCG
rnacentral:rRNA from 1 species